UACAACGGGAUACCCGAGGGAAACUUCGGUUAAUACGGUAUAAGACCACACUACCGCAUGGUAGAGGGGUAAAAGGGGCAACCUGGUAUGAGAUGGACUCGCGUCGCAUUAGCUAGUUGGUGAGGUAACGGCCCACCAAGGCGACGAUGCGUAGCCGACCUGAGAGGGUGAUCGGCCACAUUGGGACUGAGAUACGGCCCAGACUCCUACGGGAGGCAGCAGUGGGGAAUAUUGGGCAAUGGAGGAAACUCUGACCCAGCAAUGCCGCGUGAAUGAAGAAGGUCUUCGGAUUGUAAAGUUCUUUAGUCAGGGAAGAAGUCAAUGACGGUACCUGAAGAAUAAGCUCCGGCUAACUACGUGCCAGCAGCCGCGGUAAUACGUAGGGAGCAAGCGUUGUCCGGAAUGACUGGGCGUAAAGGGUGCGUAGGCGGUUGUACAAGUUAGAAGUGAAAUACCCAGGGCUUAACUCGGGUGCUGCUUCUAAAACUGUAUGACUUGAGUGCAGUAGAGGUUAGUGGAAUUCCUAGUGUAGCGGUGGAAUGCGUAGAUAUUAGGAGGAACACCAGAGGCGAAGGCGGCUAACUGGACUGCAACUGACGCUGAGGCACGAAAGUGUGGGGAGCAAACAGGAUUAGAUACCCUGGUAGUCCACACUGUAAACGAUGGAUAAUGGAUGUAGGAGGUAUCGACUCCUUCUGCGUCGCAGU
rnacentral:rRNA from 1 species